rnacentral:rRNA from 1 species
GCGACCUCUGCGUAGUAAUACAGCUCGCACCGGAACCCCGACGCGGCCACGCCGUAAAACACCCAACUUCUGAACGUUGACCUCGAAUCAGGUAGCACAACCCGCUGAACUUAAGCAUAUCAAUAAGCGGAGGAAAAGAAACCAACAGGGAUUGCCCCAGUAACGGCGAGUGAAGCGGCAACAGCUCAAAUUUGAAAUCUGGCUCUCAGGGCCCGAGUUGUAAUUUUGUAGGAGGAUG